rnacentral:rRNA from 1 species
CCUACGGGAGGCAGCAGUGGGGAAUCUUGCGCAAUGGACGAAAGUCUGACGCAGCCAUGCCGCGUGAAUGAUGAAGGUCUUAGGAUUGUAAAGUUCUUUAGCCUGUGACGAUGAUGACGGUAACAGGAGAAUAAGCCCCGGCUAACUUCGUGCCAGCAGCCGCGGUAAUACGAAGGGGGCUAGCGUUGUUCGGAAUUACUGGGCGUAAAGCGCGCGUAGGCGGUUAUGCAAGCCAGAGGUGAAAUGCCUGAGCUCAACUUAGGAAUUGCCUUUGGAACUGCAUGGCUUUGAGGACGAGAGAGGUGAGUGGAAUUCCCAGUGUAGAGGUGAAAUUCGUAGAUAUUGGGAAGAACACCGGUGGCGAAGGCGGCUCACUGGCUCGUUUCUGACGCUGUAGCGCGAAAGCGUGGGGAUCAAACAGGAUUAGAUACCCUGGUAGUCCACGCUGUAAACGAUGAGUGCUAGGCGUUGGCACGCUUGCGUGUCAGUGCCGCAGCUAACGCGUGAAGCNCNCCGCGNGGNGCGGUCGCGAGAGUAAACUACGAAGAAGUAGACGGCGUGAGACGAGCCGACGGACGACGACGAGGGAGGAGG